rnacentral:rRNA from 1 species
UGAAUACGAGACGCUAAGGCGUCGAAGUAGUGUAUGUCAUACUUCCAAGAAAAGCUUGCACUGUCAUAGAUAAAAAACGCCUGUACCAUAACCGACACAGGUGGGUAGGUAGAGUAUACUAAGGGGCGCGAGAUAACUCUCUCUAAGGAACUCGGCAAAAUAACUCCGUAACUUCGGGAGAAGGAGUGCCUUAUUCGUAAGGUUGCAAUAACAAGAUCCAAGCAACUGUUUAUCAAAAACACAGGUCUCCGCUAAGUCGUAAGACGAUGUAUGGGGGCUGACGCCUGCCCAGUGCCAGAAGGUUAAAGAAGUUGGUUAGCAAUUGCGAAGCUGAUAACUGAAGCCCUGGUGAACGGCGGCCGUAACGAUAACGGUCCUAAGGUAGCGAAAUUCCUUGUCGGGUAAGUUCCGACCCGCACGAAAGGCGUAAUGAUUUGGAUACUGUCUCGGAGAGGGGCUCGGUGAAAUAGACUUGUCUGUGAAGAUGCGGACUACCUGCACCAGGACAGAAAGACCCUAUGAAGCUUUACUGUAACUUGAAAUUGAAAUUGGACUUUAUUCGCGCAGUAUAGGUGGGAGGCGUUGAUUAUAAUCUUGUGGGAUUAUUGGAGCCAUCAGUGAGAUACCACUCCUGUAAUGUUAGAUUUCUAACUUUGAAUCAUUAUCUGGUCAAAGAACAGUUUCAGGCGGGCAGUUUGACUGGGGCGGUCGCCUCCUAAACGGUAACGGAGGCGUACAAAGGUUUCCUCUGAACGGUUAGAAAUCGUAUCUAGAGUGUAAAGGCAUAAGGAAGCUUGACUGUGAGACCUACAAGUCGAGCAGGGACGAAAGUCGGUCUUAGUGAUCUGACGGUACUGAGUGGAAAGGCCGUCACUCAACGGAUAAAAGUUACUCUAGGAUAACAGGCUGAUCUCCCCCAAGAGUUCACAUCGACGGGGAGGUUUGGCACCUCGAUGUCGGCUCAUCGCAUCCUGGGGCGGUAGUACGUCCCAAGGGUUGAGCUGUUCGCCCAUGAAAGCGGUACGCGAGCUGGGUUCAGAACGUCGUGAGACAGUUCGGUCCAUAUCCGGUGUAGGCGUUAGAAUAUUGAGAGGAGCCUUCUUUAGUACGAGAGGACCGAGAAGGACAUACCUCUGGUGUACCAGUUAUCGUGCCAACGGUAAACGCUGGGUAGCUAUGUAUGGAGUGGAUAACCGCUGAAAGCAUCUAAGUGGGAAGCCCACCUCAAGAUAAG